rnacentral:rRNA from 1 species
GGCGAGGGGAGUGAAAAAGAACCUGAAACCGUGUACGUACAAGCAGUGGGAGCACAGGUUUACCUGUGUGACUGCGUACCUUUUGUAUAAUGGGUCAGCGACUUAUAUUCUGUAGCAAGGUUAACCGAAUAGGGGAGCCGGAGGGAAACCGAGUCUUAACUGGGCGUUAAGUUGCAGGGUAUAGACCCGAAACCCGGUGAUCUAGCCAUGGGCAGGUUGAAGGUUGGGUAACACUAACUGGAGGACCGAACCGACUAAUGUUGAAAAAUUAGCGGAUGACCUGUGGCUGGGGGUGAAAGGCCAAUCAAACCGGGAGAUAGCUGGUUCUCCCCGAAAGCUAUUUAGGUAGCGCCUCGUGAACUCAUCUCCGGGGGUAGAGCACUGUUUCGGCUAGGGGGCCAUCCCGGCUUACCAACCCGAUGCAAACUGCGAAUACCGGAGAAUGUUAUCACGGGAGACACACGGCGGGUGCUAACGUCCGUCGUGAAGAGGGAAACAACCCAGACCGCCAGCUAAGGUCCCAAAGUCAUGGUUAAGUGGGAAACGAUGUGGGAAGGCCCAGACAGCCAGGAUGUUGGCUUAGAAGCAGCCAUCAUUUAAAGAAAGCGUAAUAGCUCACUGGUCGAGUCGGCCUGCGCGGAAGAUGUAACGGGGCUAAACCAUGCACCGAAGCUGCGGCAGCGACGCUGUGCGUUGUUGGGUAGGGGAGCGUUCUGUAAGCCUGUGAAGGUGGCCUGUGAGGGUUGCUGGAGGUAUCAGAAGUGCGAAUGCUGACAUAAGUAACGAUAAAGCGGGUGAAAAGCCCGCUCGCCGGAAGACCAAGGGUUCCUGUCCAACGUUAAUCGGGGCAGG